UACGUAGGGUGCAAGCGUUAAUCGGAAUUACUGGGCGUAAAGCGUGCGCAGGCGGUUGUGCAAGACAGAUGUGAAAUCCCCGGGCUCAACCUGGGAAUUGCAUUUGUGACUGCACGGCUAGAGUGUGUCAGAGGGGGGGGUAGAAUUCCACGUGUAGCAGUGAAAUGCGUAGAUAUGUGGAGGAAUACCGAUGGCGAAGGCAGCCCCCUGGGAUAACACUGACGCUCA
rnacentral:rRNA from 1 species